AGCUUCAACGUGUUCAGUGUACGGGGAGCACCUGCGGGACGCUGCUUUCGCUGGAGUGGAGCGAGGCCUCAGAGCUGGAGUCUGAGGCUGUGCUCCCGUGGGGUUGUGCCUGCUCCCCCCCGGUCUGAGUAGUGUUCUAUGGGAUUACAACAUUUUUGUAGCACUGCUAUUUUUUUUGCAGAGCACAAGAUGUGUUUUUGCAGAGCACAACAAGGUGCCUGGUACAGCUUAGUGCUUGUGUAUGGAGCCAAGAGGCGGAGGGACAGAGAUUUAGGGGAUACACUCGGGUCAGUUUUAGGUUGCUUUAAAAAUAAGCUUUGAAAUGAAAGGUAUUGUGAACACUGACUUAAUUUCACAAAGUUUUAUGGAAGUUCUGUAUUUGAAUAAACUUCAGGGCCAGAUAGAGAGCUGAGGUUUGCUGGACUUCUGGCUCCUGGUGCAUUGCAGACCUUCUGGACCAGACGCCUUUGCUGAAAUUAUUUACCAGGGAAACCUUUACAUACAUUGGCAAGCAGUGCAUGUAUAGAAAAAACAAACAGUGAUACAGAAAUUGCAGGGCUCCUGAUGCAGUGGCAGGCGUGGAUUGUACCUGAAGACAGCUUCUGGGUGCAGCUGUUCUGUAGGAGGUGAUUUGUGAGGGAGGAGAUUGAAGGAUGCCAUCCAAUUAGCUGCUUGGGGAUUGACGGGGGGAACCAAACAGCCAAAUUAAUGUUAUGGUGUGGUGACUAAACGCCAUGAGAUGGGACAUUCCAGUCCUGGUGUUCACAUGUAACUGUAGGAUUGGCCUCUUCCUAAGGGUAGCUUUCAUUCCUGUUUCCUUAAAUGCUGGUUACCUGGUGAUUUAGGGCAUUCCAGCUUACCAUAGUGGAACAGAACAAUUAGCCUUGUUUUCUUUUGAGGAGGGACAAAUCUAAGCAAGUUUAAAUCAAGGAAUUCAGAGGCGGUGUUUACAAUACUUGAUGAAGCAGGUAAUCCUGGGCUUCAUUAAAUGCUUGUAUUUAAUGGUGACAUCAGGAAUCCAAUGGGUGGAGUUAGCUAUGGUUUUAUUUUCCAGCUACACAAAACAUGCCACUCCUCCCAGCUUGGUCACCUCCAUGUUUCUCUGCAGCAGCUAAACGCCUGCAGGACUUCAGUGAUUCACUGGGAAACCACAAACGUUUACGAUGCCUUUAUGCUAUCCUCGGCAGGGAAAGUUUAGCAUCUUGCAACCCCUCCAAUAUUUUAAUGAGCUUUGCUACCAAAGCUUCCUCAGCGCCUCUCAUUUCUGUGGCCAUUUGUGUUUAAAGAAAAAUUCCUGGGAAAUAGUGUCAGUUUGUUUGGGCUGUGUGAGGUGUACCCUGUGGGCAGCAGCCUCCUACACUGUUAGCUGCCAGCGGCACACGGGUGCUACUUCUCUUUUUGGCUGUUCUCAAAAAGCUCUGACAUAACAUUUUUCCAUUCCAAUUCACUCUGUAGGUGGAUGUAUAUGCAUUUUUUCCCUCCCUUCCUCCUGCUCCGCUUUUGCAGCAGCACAGUGCUGGUAUGGCUCCUUGGAGUUGGAUCGGCUGCUCCUCUUUAAAUGUUGCUGCAAUUUGUAGGGAUCAAAGACCUUAUAUUCCAUACAACAGCUGUAACUCACGGCCAAAGGCUGACGCUUGUGCUGUAAAACUUUCUAGAGCUGCAGAAGGUAUUCUGUGUCUUCUUGCACAUUUUCUCUGAAAUGCACAUCUGAGCAACAGCUGUAAAAACAUGCAGCAGCUUUCUUGUGUAGUAGAACAAUGUUCAUAUCGUGACCGAUCUCUUUUGGAGAUAAUAAAAAUCCCACGUAGAAGUCACAGUGAAAUCUGGAGGCUGGAAAUUGGGCAAUUUUGCAUCUGUAGAAAAGAUACAUUUGUCAAAGGGAAUAAUCCACCAUUAAAGUAACUUGCUGAGUUUAUUAGCUCUGAAUUUCCGGGUGGAAAUUGUGUGCUUGUCUGAAGGAGGAGCUGCAGGCCAGGUGGUAGUUACAGGCUUGGUGCUGAAAUUAUGGGGUGAGAUUGCUUGGAGUAUGUAAUUGCUGUUAGUAAGAGCUUGGGCCAAACAACACCAUUGCUGUCCCCAAAGUCCGUCCAUGCCUCUGCUUAUCUAGAGGGUAGGGAGGGCAUUUGCAGAGCUGCAGCUGUCUCCUGAAGCUCUGUCUUGUUUCAGUGGGUCAGCCCCAAUUUCUGAGGGGAUGUGUACACAGGUAGGUGUUGGUGUGGGGGCGCUUACCCACGAGAACCUGACUGAGGGCAGCAAUUCACAAUGCUCUGGAAAUCCUAAAUGAUGAAAUUUUAUUGUCCUACCUCUAGCUAAAAGAUCUGCAUUUGCUGUCAUUGGCCUUUCCUGCCACCAUAUUUCACAAAGAGAUCAUUUAAGAAGAAAAAAUGGUAAUGCAGGAUUUUAUACCCCUCUGACACAGUGAGCCAGUGAAACAGCCUGGGAGGGCCAACGCUGCGACUGAGGAGACUGACGUGCACUUGUAAGUCAGGCAGUGGCACUGUCCUUAAGCUGCCCCCUGAAGGCUUUCCUCCUGCGCUCUGUGUCCUUGGUCAGGUUUGUAGCUCUGGGGCUGGUGGCUCUCGAAGUGCAGGAUUGUCACUGCAGGUGUAAGGCUGUGUGAGAGGACAGGAGGCUACCUGCUGCUGUCUGCUUUCCGUCCUGUGUCGCCUCAGUGCGUGCACUGCAUACCUACAGCCCACCCGGUGAGGAGCCUGGCAGGGUGUGGGGCAGUGAUACGUGCUGGAACUGGGGAAGAAGCAACGUGAGAAGACUGCAGCCUUGGAUAUCAUUGAAUUAUCUGUGCAAAAGCAAGAGGCAGAUGAGGGAGAAUCAACAGCCAGGAGCUUUAAAUGAAGAGACAGCUUCCUGAAAUAGCAGCUCCGGCUGCUGUGGGGCAAUGGCUCUUGUGCUUACAUAAGCUAAUGUGACCUUAUUUGUUCCCAAGAUGCUUAAGCAUGCUUAUAAAACAGAUAUCACAGUCAUGAGGGGUUCAUGUCUGCCACCUCCUUGCUGUCAGCAAGGCAAAUCUUGAUAUCCUUGCGGUUACUGUGGGGUUGACUCGUUCUUCGGAGAGCCCUACUUGCUGUUGGUGAUCUUGGCUUUUCCUGCUGGGUCUUUUGGGUAGAAAAUUUCAUCCACAGGCCCUGGGACUGCCCCGUGAGCUGCUUUUAUUGAACAGCAGGCCGUGGUGAGGAGCAGAGAGAGAGUUCUAGCACAGUUUUGGCCUCCUAUGUCCUCAACAGGCUGCGUCACACCAAGCAGAGCCUUUGGACGGCUGUUCAAGUUUAUUCUGAUGUUGGGAGUCUAGACAGCUCGGUUGUGUUUACAGUACAAAGUGCUGUUGCCUCAUGCUGUAAAUGACAGAGCUCACCUGAGAUGCUGUAGCCUCAGAGAGAGACUCCUUCCUCUUCGAGACAGCUUUGUUCUUUUAUCAGCAGGUCUCAAAGCGCUUUACAAAGGGAAUUCUAACCAGUGAGUUGCUGAUGUAAUGAUGAAAGUAUUCUGCAGAAAUCCAAGAGCUGAUGCGUUUAGCUGCAGUUGUUCUCCCUGUUUUGCAGAUGACAUGCUUGGCUGGGAGGCGAGCCAAGAAUCGAGCUUUGAUCUCCUGGGACAUCCCAGAGACCCUCUCUCUGCUUGGACGAUCUGACUGUUCCUUAACUUGGCUUCAGAAGAGCUUUGUGUUGGGCACCAGUCCCUGUCCCCGUGCUAUCUCCAGGAGGAAGCUGGUGGCUGUGUGUUCAGGCUGCCCAGAGUCAGUGGCAGGACCAGGGAGACCCAAAUUCCCCAUAUCCUGUAGGGAACAGUCACCGUUUUGGUGAGGGGUCUCUUUGCUAGGGAUCACACAUUGUCUUUUUGACUUCAUCGUGCUGCUCUCAGUUUGGUCUUUCAUCCCUGCUGGUUGUCAUUGUGGGCACGUUUUGGUGUUUGUCCCCUUGUUAGGUGUAUUUCUGUUUUCUCUCUGAUCGGUUAUAAAAUCGCUGUCUUGUCUUUAGAGUGGUCUUGAAGCCAUGCCAAUUUUUAGUAACUCAGUGACAGAUUUGGGGCAGGAAGCUCCGGGAUCUGAAUACAUAAUUUCAUUACCUUUUUGUGUCAUCCCUUUCCCAGGGACUGGCUUGCCCUCCUGAACCAAGGUGCUUCGUGUAACUCCCAACUUCAGCUGAAACUCCCAGUUACAACAUGAAAGUCAGAGGGAAGUGGAAAAGGAUUUGAGGAGUAUGCCACAAAAAGCGUAUUUUCGUGGCUGGGCAACUUCAAAACAAAACAGCUGUCAGAAAAACUGUUGGUGAAGCUGCUUUCUCUGGCUUGUACGCAGCAGUUUCCUGAGGGUUUCCUUUGUCUGACUUGUGCAGUAAGUACGCGAUAGGAAGGGCCCAACUUCACGGUUUUCUUUUUUCUUUCACUUGUUUUGUCAGUGUUGUCUAAAGGACAGGAAGAGCAGAGCGCAGAGCGUUCAGGUUGGUCGGUUGGUCCCCAAGUGCAAUCAGGGCAUCCUGGGGUGUAAAAACACUCACAGCACCCAGUGCCCAGCUUCAGGGCUGGACCAAAGCUGGUUUUCUGUAGAAAGGAGAGAGUGUAGACAGGCAGGGGAUUACAUGGCCCGGGCGAGGAGUGGUAUAGAUAAAACUCUUUUCUUUUUUUUAUUCAUAGAUAAAUGUCCUCUUUUGUAGGACUCAUAGUUUGAAAGUUACUCUAUACUCUCUGAAGACUUCCAUCGUAGGGCAUUAGAGGGUUUUGUCGGUGUCGUGUGGUUCAGCAAGGGAUUUAAAGUCAGUAGCUGGAGCCACUCGGCACGUGAGGAAGGAGAGAGGGUUACACUACACAGCCUCCUGCCCUUCAUUUCUGAAGGGCAUCACAUUUGAUUACUGGUGUCUUCAUUUGUAUGGAGAUAAAUUAUUAACAGUGACUUCAUCAAAUCUCUAAGAAAGCCAUUCUUCUUUCUUUUUUUCUUGAAGAUCGUCUGAACUUUUAUCUGUCCAUCCUUAUAAAUUCUUAAUUCAUUGCCCUUUCUCAGCCUCUCAGCUUGUAAAAUGAGGCCAGUCGUGAUUUAACUGAUAUCUUUGACGUGCUUUCAGAGUACUGGAUGUCUCUGCGGAGAAUUCAUUCCCUCUGUUCCCUCCGCUGUCCCGUAUGGUUUUUCCCUGCUCCAUUCACAUGCGGUCUAUGGAGAAAAUGAUCAGAUCUUUACACUUGGGAAAGCCCUGGCAUUUUCUGUAAGAAUGUCAUCUUGAUUUCUGGGCUCCUCCCUCUAAUAACAGCCAAAAUAAACAUUGCAGAAAAGGACCUUUAAUUACACCCUUCAGCAUGUGGGUCUGCUUAGUCCCCUACUCUCUCUGUCUACACUUUCAGUCUUCAGAAACUUCAGUGAGAGGGAACGAAGGGAGGAGGGAUUGUCCAUGCUUUUUUUCCUCUUUUAGUGCUCUCGGCAGCAGCACUUCAAGUGGGUGGUGUGAGGACCCCUCCCUGUGUGGAUGUGCUCGUGUAAACUGUGUGCAUUGGUGUGAAAAGUAGAUCUUGCUCUGUGGAUGGAUGGAAAGCCCACUCUUCCCUCCUCCCCGGCUCAUCUUCCAUUAUUUAGCCCUAAGUUUGAGCAUGUUCAAUGAACAUGGUCACGAAGGAAGUGUUUGGAGAUGGCUCGCCUGGGUUUUAAGAAGUUCCUGGCUGAUUCCUGGCUCUGCAAUCGUCUGUGUGGGUCAGUGCUGUGCUCAGCCUCCUGAGCCUCUGCAAAACAGUGGGAAUAAGGCUGGCAUGCCCCUCAGGAGCAAGGGGAGGGUAAUUACAGAUGAGACAAGGGUGCUUGCACCACAUAAUGACAGGAGCUACGAGCGUGCCAAAUGCUAAAAUCCUCCAUUUGCUUUUCAGUUUGUUAUUAGCUCGGUUUGUUAUUGCUCUGAACAGCACAGGAGGACUGUUCCCCUCCCACACCUCUCAGCUCACCUGCCUGUUGACACGGGAGAUCUUGUGCUUCGGCUCAGGUAAUGGGCACGUACUUGUAGGGCCCCAAACCCGCUUACGGGGGCCCUCAGAGUGUGGCUCCACCACGGGGAGCCGAGCCACAGCAGCAGCAAAACGUCAGGUCGUGUCUGCUCAGGAACCUCGUGAGCAGCACGGAGCAAAGAGCAAAGCUUCAGCUUUCAGAGCCAGCGUGGAAGCAGUCAGCAAAGCGAGCUCAGGCUUCUUGAGCUCUAUCUGAGUGUGACCACGGACGUUCAGCGGGGCGGAAACUUGGCUGAGCUGUUUGCUGCUGGAGAACAGAGCUCAGGGCCACAGCCCCGGGCUGUGCCAGGGGGUGCAAGGCCGUGCGGGGCGGGUGGAGGUGUGUGUUUUGCAGGAGGCUCUUGGCACUGCGUUCGGCCGUGAAGCUGCACAUUUAUCCGUCAGCAUCAGAAAUCCUAGAAGCAGAGGACUCUGGAUCCAGGAGUGCCAUCCACCAGCCACAGCCAGAGGCCCCUGGAAGCAGCGUGUUUGGCACAGCGAGCCCCAACCUCUGCCAGCUGAAUCCACGCAGGGCGAGGCAGGAACCGUGUUGCUGCAUUGGCUUGCCACGAGUUGGGAGUUCCAGCUGUGAAAACUGCCUCCCUACUUUUUCCUUUUGGAAAGUGACCUGCCCAGAUCUGCUGACAGCCGAGAUGUGCAGGCACGAUUACCUGUCACGGGUAUUACGGAGCUGGAACUGGAACCGGGAUUCCCUGAAAUUGGGCCUGGCUGUUACUGAAGGAGCAGAGUAACAGAGGCAGAAAUGGCAGCAAAAGAACAAGAUCAGCAAGUGGUGAAGUGUGGCUCCUGAGUACAAGCCACGUGCUCCCUGCUCUUAGCGUUAGGUGAUGGGGUUAUGCCACUCCUAGUGCUUUUAGAGGGCUGGGGAAGGGAGAGUUGGAUGCCUUUGCAAACAGCACAUGGCAGAGAAUCACAGAACAGGCAGGCUGACAAGCUUGGCUGGGUUUUCACUGGACCCUCCAUCACCUACAGCAGAGCUGGAAGCAAAGCCACUGCUUUGUGCCUCAGUUCUGCUGUGUAAAAUGGAGAUACCUCGUGCAGGGCUUUUGCAAUCUAACCAGUGUGAGAGGCUCUCCAAAGGAUGCUGCAGAUGACUGAAAUGCUGCUUUUCUUUUUAAGGCACGUUUGCCAUGUGUUGCAGUCUGCCAUCUGUUACAUAAUGGUUUUCGCUUUAUUUUUACUGCAUUUUACAUGUGCCCCAAGUGAAAUUAUUGUAGGCCCCUAAAACGCCUGACCCAUGCACUCAGGGUGGCAGUGCUAGCUUCAGCUUCCAGAUCACCGACUGAGGGACCCAAGUAAUCUGCUUUGCAAACCCCCAGCCUACAGACAAGGUGGGUACUGCAUGUAGCAAGAAUUUAGGACAAAUACUUGGGAAAGCUGCUUUUGAGGUUUGGACUCAGCGUGGAAGAGACUUGGGAUUUCAUUCCCUGGGAGCAGUCCCCAAGGCUUGCCAGCAGUCAGUUUCCUUUAUUAACAUCCUAACACAAACCCCAAACGCCGGGCUGUGUGCACUCCCUGCUAUGGGGGGGUGGGAGCGAAGCACGGCGUGACAGCAGACAGCAUCUCUGGUAGCAAGUAAUGGGGAAGUUCUGCGUGGUGAUGAGGUUGGGAAAAUGGCACUGAGCUGAGCAGGAGCUGGGCUGGAGACUCUGCGGAGGCAGGGCUGUCUGAACCGUGCCAGAUACAGAGGAGCUGGCAUUUCUGUGCUCGUUGGAGUACAUUUCUUUUAUGCCCUUUGAAGCAGAAGGGAAGGGGAAAGGAGAGCAGUUGAGGAACAGCAACGCUUCUCUGCAUCCAGCUUCCUUAAAGCAAUACCUGGCAGUGCUGGACCAGAGAGAAUUGUGCAUUCUGCACUUCUUCACUAUCUGCUGCUUUUUUGUUGCUCCUCUGGCUUCUCCAUCCACCCCCCACCGUUUUCCUUGCUCCUUCCUGGUCUUUUGAGAGCUGUUUCAAAGCGAUCCGUGUUAGUAGGGAGCUAUUUGUUUGCAGAGCACCUAAAUUGUACCGGAUCGCCUCUGGCUGUUUGUGCGGGUGUAACCAUGCUUCGGUUUCCAGACUCAUGCAAAACACGUCCUUUAAUUUCGAUGUUUAGUCUCACUGCAGUGAUGUCAGUAGCCCCGUGGUAUCUCCCAUCUCCAGCAGGGAAGCCGCGCUGCUUUUCCUUCUGCAGCUCUGCAGGAGUUCGGUCGGGCACCCAGACCACUCAGUGCACGUCCCAGUUUCCCAAGCACCUGACAACUGCUGUGGACUUGUAGCACCAACCCCUCGAGUGCUGUUCAGAGGUUUGUCUAUUGACUUCAGCAGGGUGUGCUUCAAACCCUUCAGAAUAUCAGUGCUGUGAGAAGGGAUGGCAGCAAGGACAGACAG